AACGAACGCUGGCGGCGUGCCUAACACAUGCAAGUCGAGCGCGAAUGGAGCAAUCCUAGUAGCGCGGCGCACGGGUGCGUAACACGUGGGUAAUCUGCCUGGGAGACCGGAAUAACCUGCCGAAAGGCUGGCUAAUACCGGAUAAGCCCACGGACUCUUCGGAGUCUGAGGGAAAAGGUGGCCUCUGUAUACAAGCUAUCACUUCCAGAUGAGCCCGCGGCCCANCAGCUCGUUGGCGGGGUAAAGGCCCACCAAGGCAACGACGGGUAGCUGGUCUGAGAGGACGAUCAGCCACACUGGAACUGAGACACGGUCCAGACUCCUACGGAGGCAGCAGUGGGAAUUUUGCACAAUGGGCGAAAGCCUGAUGCAGCAACGCCGCGUGUGUGAUGAAGGUCUUCGGAUCGUAAAGCACUUUCGACCGGGA
rnacentral:rRNA from 1 species